GCUAAACAUCCAUGGCUGAAUGGUUAAAGUACUCAACUCACAAUUGGCGAAUUCGUAGGUUCAAUUCCUACCGGAUGCAUGC
rnacentral:tRNA from 1 species